rnacentral:rRNA from 1 species
UGAAUACGAGACGCUACGGCGUCGAAGCAGUCUAUGUCAUACUUCCAAGAAAAGCUUGCACUGUCAUAAACAAAUAAUGCCUGUACCAUAACCGACACAGGUGGGUAGGUAGAGUAUACUAAGGGGCGCGAGAUAACUCUCUCUAAGGAACUCGGCAAAAUGACUCCGUAACUUCGGGAGAAGGAGUGCCUUAUUUAUAAGGUUGCAAUAACAAGAUCCAAGCAACUGUUUAUCAAAAACACAGGUCUCCGCUAAGUCGUAAGACGAUGUAUGGGGGCUGACGCCUGCCCAGUGCCAGAAGGUUAAAGAAGUUGGUUAGCAUUAGCGAAGCUGAUAACUGAAGCCCUGGUGAACGGCGGCCGUAACAAUAACGGUCCUAAGGUAGCGAAAUUCCUUGUCGGGUAAGUUCCGACCCGCACGAAAGGCGUAAUGAUUUGGAUACUGUCUCGGAGAGGGGCUCGGUGAAAUAGACUUGUCUGUGAAGAUGCGGACUACCUGCACCUGGACAGAAAGACCCUAUGAAGCUUUACUGUAACCUGAAAUUGAAAUUGGACUUUAUUUGCGCAGUAUAGGUGGGAGGCGUUGAGAAUAUUCUUGCGGGAAUAUUGGAGCCAUCAGUGAGAUACCACUCUUGUAAUGUUAGAUUUCUAACUUUGAAUCAUUAUCUGGUCAAAGAACAGUUUCAGGCGGGCAGUUUGACUGGGGCGGUCGCCUCCUAAAUGGUAACGGAGGCGCACAAAGGUUUCCUCUGAACGGGUAGAAAUCGUAUCUAGAGUGUAAAGGCAUAAGGAAGCUUGACUGUGAGACCUACAAGUCGAGCAGGGACGAAAGUCGGUCUUAGUGAUCUGACGGUGCUGAGUGGAAAGGCCGUCACUCAACGGAUAAAAGUUACUCUAGGAUAACAGGCUGAUCUCCCCCAAGAGUUCACAUCGACGGGGAGGUUUGGCACCUCGAUGUCGGCUCAUCGCAUCCUGGGGCGGUAGUACGUCCCAAGGGUUGGGCUGUUCGCCCAUGAAAGCGGUACGCGAGCUGGGUUCAGAACGUCGUGAGACAGUUCGGUCCAUAUCCGGUGUAGGCGUUAGAAUAUUGAGAGGAGCCUUCUUUAGUACGAGAGGACCGAGAAGGACAUACCUCUGGUGUACCAGUUAUCGUGCCAACGGUAAACGCUGGGUAGCUAUGUAUGGAGAGGAUAACCGCUGAAAGCAUCUAAGUGGGAAGCCCACCUCAAGAUAAGUAUUCCC